UACGUAGGUGGCAAGCGAUACUCGGAAUCACUAGGCGUAAAGCGCAGGUAGGAGGUUUGGUAAGUCUCUUGUGAAAGCUCCCGGCUUAACUGGGAGAGGUCAAGGGAAACUACUAGGCUAGAGUGCGGUAGAGGUAGCUGGAAUUCCCGGUGUAGCGGUGAAAUGCGUAGAUAUCGGGAGGAAUACCUAUGGCGAGAGCAGGCUACUGGACCGUCACUGACUCUGAUCUGCGAAAGCUAGGGGAGCAAACAGG
rnacentral:rRNA from 1 species